CGGCGUUACGAGAAAUCGAAGCCCUCCGCCGCCAUUGAUGGGUUGAUGAAUCCAAAUGGGUUCUCGAAUUAUAUGCUUUUUUAUCAAAGGAUUCAAUGAGGAAUUGAGGAUUGUUGUUGGAACUUGGGCGUUGGAUGUGGUUUUAAUUUGAAAUUUAUUGCGGAUGUCAUGUUUAUGUUGUUUUGGAGUAUUUGAUUUUUGGAAUUUGGAUGUCUUGGACUUUCGGAUAUUGUGUAUGUGGAUUUCAUUUUUAGAUGUUGGAGGACGAUGUAAUAUUGUUAUUUUGGAUGUAUUGUUAAAACUUAAUUUAUGAACUUGGAUAUUAGACUUUGUAUUUAGAUUA